rfam:Streptomyces sp. 3124.6 genome assembly, chromosome: I
CCGAAUGAAGGGAGGUGGUCCGAAGCAUGUAUGCACACCGGACGUCGGAGGUGGCUGCGGGCUGAUGGCCCGUCGCCCACUGAGUGCGGUGCCGGACCAGCGCGUGUGAGUCGCGCGCAACCGGCCAAUUCAACGCAGUCACCCGACCCGCGAGUCGCCGGUACGUCCGGCCGGCCCUCCUCCGGGAGGACCCGACUCGCGGGUCGUCUGCU